UUUAUUUUUCCGUGUCCAACGUUUGACCAUUCGUCUUAUUUGAAAAAUUAUAAAAAACCUUAAAAAGUUAGUCACGUAUAAAGUACUAUUUAUAUUUUAUCAUCUAAUAAUAAUAAAAAUAUUAAUCGUAAAAUUUUUUUAAAUAAGACGAAUGAUCAAACGUUGGACACGAAAAACGAAAAAUGAGAUUAUU
rfam:Oryza brachyantha chromosome 3, whole genome shotgun sequence.